GUCUAUGGCCAUGCCGCCCUGAAUAAGUCUGAUGUCUGAUCUUGGAAGCUAAGCAGGGUUAGGCCUGGUUAGUACUUGCGUGGGAGACCACCUAGGAAGACCAGGUGUUGUAGGCA
rnacentral:rRNA from 1 species